GGUCCGUUGGUGUAAUGGUAACAUUUCCUAAUCUGGCGUAUUGUCAUGUUCCACUUAGUUCGCGGCUCUACGGUAGCGUGGAAGUUACCGGUUCGAAUCCGGUACGGGCUA